UACGGAGGGUGCGAGCGUUGUUCGGAAUUAUUGGGCGUAAAGCGCGCGUAGGCGGCCGUUUAAGUCUCGCUGUGAAAUCUGGGGGCUCAACCCUCACGACUGCAGGGGAUACUGGGCGGCUGGAGACAGGUAGAGGCGAGCGGAAUUCCGGGUGUAGCGGUGGAAUGCGUAGAGAUCCGGAAGAACACCAGAGGCGAAGGCGGCUCGCUGGACCUGGUCUGACGCUGAGGUGCGAAAGCGUGGGGAGCGA
rnacentral:rRNA from 1 species